rnacentral:rRNA from 1 species
GACGAACGCUGGCGGCGUGCUUAACACAUGCAAGUCGAACGGAAAGGCCCCUUUGGGGGUACUCGAGUGGCGCACGGGUGAGUAACACGUGAGUAACCUGCCCUUUUCUUCGGGAUAACUUCAGGAAACUGGGGCUAAUACCCGCUAGGAAUUCUUGCUGCAUGGUGGUGGUUGGAAAGCUUUGGGGGUUUUGGAUGGACUCGCGGCUUAUCUGCUUGUUGGUGGGGUAGUGGUUUACCAAGGCGUUGACGGGUAGCCGGCCUGAGAGGGCGACCGGCCACAAUGGGACUGAGAUACGGGCCAGACUCCUGCGGGAGGCAGCAGUGGAGAAGAGUGAGCAAUGGGCGGAAGCCCGAUGCAGCAAAGCAGCGUGCGGGAUGACGGAAUUCGGGUUGAAAAACGCUUUAAGCAGGGGCGAAGCUAGUAGUGAAGGUAACUGCAGAAGAAGCACCGGCUAACUACGUG